AUGACCGCCUGUAACCGCCUAUGAGCAGCAGUGAAGAGCAGGCCAUGUGCUAGCUAGUGGAGCACGCUCUGUGGCAGCCCGGCUAUGUCAACAAAGCACUGAGAAACUUGGAUAACAACACACACAGAGGAAGAGCGACUUCAUUCUCUGCGCAGGCUCAGUGCGAGACAAUGGUGCAAGAAAAUCCCAGACAGGCGUGUAAUUGCAACUGUGGCGCAGCAUGAGACAAGACAACAAGAUGGUUAGAAGAUAAACCCUAUGGUUAAAGACCUUCCCCAUAUGAAGAGAGGCGUUGGGGUCAAAAUUCAGAUCCUCCUCAGAGAGUCCCUGAGAUGUAUUCACUCCUACAGGGUUUCCAUUGAUUGAAACAUCAGCUGGACCGCACCAGAUGAUCAGAGGAGGCCGGAGACCGAACCCCGUCGAUGCAAGCUGGCCGGGAGCAUCUUCUUGUCUGUGGGAUGAUUCAGUCCAGAGAUUAAAAACACAAGAGGCGAGGCAUCUUCCCAACUCUGCAUGAGAAAAGUCUCCCAGUUCUCUCUCCUGGAGGAUGGAAAUAUGAGCUUGCACGGAGACGCGGUCAGAGUAAAUGACGGCUGCUUGGAAAGAGUCCAGGACAUCAGCAGACCCUCGUCUUCCACCUCCUCCAGACACACCACCACCUGAUGGAGACAGACAGGGGGAGCAAGAUCUUGAAUGGACAGGGAGCUUCCUUCCCUGCAGAUGCACACUCGAAUGCUCCAUUAGUCCUCCUCCACCACCCACUGAACCCGGUGACGAUGGCUUGACAUCAUGUGUCAGCUGCAGAUGCACACACAGCCUGACGAUGCUAUUAUGAUCUGUUGGUCUGAAGAGGCCAACCGGUUCAGUCCUUCAAGCCUCCUCCACGAAAUAAUCCAUCCAGAGACAUCCGAAUAGCUCCAUAUCAAGUCCGCCUGCCAGGGCAAGAUUAUAUCCAGAGGCUUCUGCAGUAAUACUUCAGCAGACAGACAUUUUCUCUGGAUAAACAACUGAGUCAUGAAACAAGCUGCAUCAUGGGAUUACUGUCCACAAGUGCAGGAGGAACAAGAUUCAGGUGUCUUUAAUCUCUCUGUUUAAACUGCUCAUGUUUAAAUGGAACCACAGUAUGAGAAACCGUGCGUGUGUUCAUGCAAGUGGACAUCCUUCCGUCGCAUAUAACCAGCUGCGAUGACGCCUCAGGCCAAAUCCCUGGAUUACAUGGACACAGGAAGAGUGGCUAAAUGGGAAGAAGCUGAAUGGGGCACUGCCACUAACACCAUGUCUCUUGUCUCUGCAAACACAAACGAUGCUUUAGCUUGUACCGUUUUCUGUUGUUUACUAUAUUUAUGUAACAACUCCCAUCUUCCUGUCAGGAUUCAGCCCCCUGAAGCAUUUUUUUAGCCUCGCCUUGUUGUUUUGAAUACUGCACUUCAGGGGUCAGGGUCAGGUCUCGCCUCGGGACGGAGUGUCGUCACACAGCAUCCUGACGACACUGGAAAUUAGUGAGAUGGCAUUUGCUGUUUUCUGUAAGCAAGCAGCGUUGACACAGCCCCACGCGAGGAUUGGAGGGUCCCUGGCUUACGUCACUCUCUGCUGCAGAGAGCAGAAUAUCGACAAGGACGGCCAAACCAGACAUCUGAAAUGAAUGUUAUUCAAAACUACAGACGGUGACCUACUGACUGUUUUAAAUCUUCAUAAUGAUGAUAGAAGAUUGCGCAGAGGUACAGCCCGAUGAAUACCAAAUAGCCACAGUGAGAGGUGUUCACUUCAAAAGAGAAAAAACCUUCCUUUCCUGACUGCUACUGAAAUAUCCAUAAUGUUCAUCCAUUUUACUGUAAAACAGCAACACUCACUGAGUGCCUGGAAUACAGAAAACACAGGUCCUGAAAUGAAUAUAAUGUUUCACAAUGAUCCUAAGAGGUUUUUGUUAGAUAAUGAAAUAAGAUCCAGGAAGUCCAGUUUGAGUGUUACAUCCGUCAGAAGUCUUACAUGAGCAUUGCCUAACCUAUGGAAAGCCAAGGAGGCCAAAAACGCAUCCUAAUACUUCCAGAGAUAUGAAAGACAUAACUAUGAUGUAUGAAUGGUAUGGCAUACUCUAAGGCCCAAGUCCAAUCCGGCUUCUACACCCUCCAUUUGCAAAUUUCCCCACUGCGUGACUAAUAAAGGAAUAUCUUAUCUUAUCUUGUAGUUACACUCACAGCUCAAUGAAGCACCCUUCUUUAAGGUGGAGGGUAGAAAUACAGCAGCAAGCUUUGGUACGAACUUCCCUCUCUCUCCGGCAAAGAAAUAAAUUAAUAUCAGAAAUACUUUAUUCAGCCCCAGAGGGGAAAUUGGGUUACACUACAGUUGCUCCCAUUCUAGAAUAGAAAUAUAUAACAUAGAGAAUU